AUCGUUUCUUGGCCUUUUGGCUAAGAUCAAGUGUAGUAUCUGUUCUUAUCAGUUUAAAAAAUAAUAUGUAGUAAUAUAUCUUUUUUUUUUUUUUUGCUUUUUUGGGUCACACCCAGCGAUGCUCAGGGGUUACUCCUGGCUUUGCACUCAGGAAUUACUCCUGGCGGUGCUUGGGGGACCAUAU